AACAACGGGCACCGACUGUGGAGCACAGGCAGAGCUUUGAUUUUGUAAAGGAGCUGUUAUCACUUGAGGUUCGACAGCCACCCCGCCCCUCGCCAAAAGCAGAGUCCACAGGCAUGGAUAGAAGCACAGAACGGCUGAGGUUGGAAGAGUUCUCUGGAUGUCAUCUGGUCCCAACCCCUGCUCAAGUACAGCUGUAUAGAUCUGCUGGCCCACGACAAAGAUUUUGGGCACCUUCAAGAAUGGAGACUACCGCUCUGUGCAAUGAAACUUUAUGGCCAACUGCACUCACAAGGGAGUCACCAACAGUAAACAAAGGUUCAGAAACAGUCAUAAGAUAAAUGCAUGCAUGGGUGCACCGCACUGCCAUAUCAACUCAAAGGAAAACAAAGUUCCAGAAAAACACUGAAGAAACUACUAUGGAGAUUGGUCAAAAAUUUCUGUUUAAGCAAAAAGGAUUUACAAAUACAAAAAAACUCAUUCCCAUUUGUACCUUGUUAGAUACCAGACAGUCCCAAAGAUCAAACAAAAGUCAACAACGGACCUCACUUGACCUGCUUCUACGGUCUCUCAGCUCUGGAGAAAUAGUCUGCCAUUCCCUUGAUUGAAAAUUCUGCCUGCUACUUUAUACAGUGGUUCAGAUUUGUAAAGCUGCAUUGUUUUCUAUGCUUUUAUUUCUGUGAAUUUAGGAAAAAACACUUAAAACUGCAAAGCUCACGUUUCAAGGUUCAAAGCUGUUUUUCAAGGUACAGCAAUCGGAAGAUAAAAAAUUCUCUCUCAAAUGUGGAUUAUAACAAAGACUUUUUUGUUUGCUGGCUGCUUGAUGUAAGCCAAGCUGAGCAGACCAUUAAUUGUGAGCUGAACUAUAACUGCACACAGAUGGUAACAAAUACUCUUGUCUCAAGGAGAACUUUCAAAUUAAUAGAUGUAGUAACUUCAAUUAUUUUUUUCUGUUUUUAUAAAUUUAACAACAAAAAUAA